UCCUGUGCAACCGCACGAACACCGUUUAAGCAGUUUUAAACUCACGGUGCAAGGCGAGUCUUCACAAAA
rnacentral:sRNA from 1 species